GGUAGGGUAGCUCAAUGGUAGAGCAUGUGCUUAGCAUGCAGGUGGUCCUGGGUUCAAUUCCCAGCACCA
rfam:Ictidomys tridecemlineatus contig034844, whole genome shotgun sequence.